rnacentral:piRNA from 1 species
UGCAUACUUAGCUUGGCCUUUGGUGCUUG